GCACAGGCAUAAACACAGGAAAGGAAAAAAACUCUAUGCUAGAGUGAAACUACAGAGAAACAACAGCGUUAUCUUUGGGACUAAACUAUUAGCAUUACCAAUGAUGUAGUGUUUCCUCUGACUGAACACAAAUGUUUGGAUAAAAAGGAAGAAGCUGGAAUACACAGUGAUGUGUUAAAGAGUAGUAGACAAAGAAAGUUACACUGCUGUGACAAAUAGGGAGGAAGUUAGAGUUUCAUUUGGAAAGUCUUCUCACCACUUGGUCAAGUUACACUAAGAGUAUACAUUAGAGAGAGUCCAUUGGAGAGUCCUGAUAAAGUAGCAGUAGCAGCAGGUGUGUCUGUCAGUGUGGUUGUGAUGCUUGUUGCGGGAGUCCUGCUGGUGAUCUUCUUACUGACUAGAUGUCACCGGCGGGAAACGUCAACGCAGAGAGACACAGAGGAAAGAAGCGUGACCCAGCAGUUGAACAUGUAUGAACACUGAGUGUGUGGAGCAUCUUCUCCCUCUGAUACAACAAUCUCUCCUCAAAUGACGGACGACAAAAUGGAGGGAUGGUGACUUGCAACAAGACAAACUUAAACUUAAAAUAAUGCCUGUGUUCAAAGUAGCAAUGUGGAGCAGCAUUGAGCAAUGAAUUGUAAUGUCAUGUCUGAACCAUAUUCUGUGACCAUUAUGCAACGAGGCAGGAAGUGAAAGAAGUGGAGAACAGCAUGAUGGGAGAAAUGACUGGUCAAUGGACUGAACAUGAGCCGAACGCAGUAAAUGAAGUCCAGAGAAAUCCCAAGAAAUAAAGUAGACCUAAAGCAGCCUGUAUAUUAUAGAGUUGACUAACUACAGGUGCAUUCACAUUUCUAAGAAGAGAAGCAGAUGAUACAGGACUACUAUAGUUAACAGCCAUCAUGGAAACUCUUGUUACAUACAUCUACCGCAUGUUCCUGGUGUUACCCAUUUGAAUCAUGUUCAUAAUUCAGGUUGAUAAUUCGCUUUCAUGUACAGCAGUCAUUUCACCAUUUAAAUAUGAAUUUAAUUAUCUGAAUAAUGUGAAGAAUUUGACAUGAUCAAUGUUUUCAUUGCUGCUUAUUAUUAUUAUGUAGCUUGCUGUGAAACAAGCGUGUCAUGGAAUGACUAAAUCAAAAGAUUAGUAACACUUUGGUCCAGGGUCCGUUUUGUUGUAUUAUUAACCAUAUUGGUUAAGCUUACAACACAGGAAGAGAUGAUUGGAAAUCAGGGAAAUAAAAUGACUUUUUAUAGGUCUUGUCCCGAGGGACUAAUACAAGUUUCACAUCUGUGUUCAUGUUUAUUUUGUGAGAGAAAAAAACUACAGACAUUAUACAAAUACAUUAUCCACCCACCUCUCCCCUUUCCACCCACAUGACCUGCUUAUUUGAGUACAAAUAUCAAAGUAGUGAUUUUAAACCGUUAAUUGUUGGAGUCCAUAUGUUGAUACUUGGUUGCCUGGGUGUUAGGUACAGUGAAGUUAGUCAUCAUUAAGCAGUAAGAGAUUGGCAAGACAAGGGAUUGGUUUAGAUAAAAUGCUUGAUAAUGAUGAAGACAGAUUGCCAAAAGGAGAACAAUCUGUUUUAAUACUUUUAUACCACUUAUAUUUUAUGCUGUAAGUGACAAUACUGGCUGUUUUUCUGUGUGUGAAAGUAUUGUUCAGUUGUUUUUAUGUGUUUGUACUGUUGGAAAGUAGCUGAAAUUCUCUGUCCUCUUCACUCUUGGUGUUUCUUUUUCAAAUAAACUAUGUACUGUAAAUAUGAAAUGAGAUAAACCCUAUAUUAAAUGCCAUAAUAAACCAUAUAUUAAAUGCCAUAAUAAACCCUAUAUUAAAUGCCAUAAUAAACCCUAUAUUAAAUGCCAUAAUAAACCCUAUAUUAAAUGCCAUAAUAAACCCUGUAUUAAAUCCCAUAAUAAACCCUAUAUUAAAUGCCAUAAUAAACCCUGUAUUAAAUCCCAUAAUAAACCCUAUAUUAAAUGCCAUAAUAAACCCUAUAUUAAAUGCCAUAAUAAACCCUAUAUUAAAUGCCAUAAUAAACCCUAUAUUAAAGCACAGCAUUGAUUGUCACUGCUACGCAGAUGAUACACAGCCUCACAUUUCUGUGUCACCAGAGGAUUCUAGCUCCACGGAUACAUUAUUAGACUGUUUUAGUGAGUUAAAUAACUUCCUCCAGCUAAAUCAAGACAAAAACCUAGGUACUUAUUGUUGGAGCCAAAGUACAGCGUGAGAAUCUAGCAGCAUAUUUUAAUUCACAGGCAAUAAAGAUAAAACACCAGGUAAAUAAACCUAAGUGUUAUUUUUACAUUCUGAAGUAAAUUUCGAAUCACACAUUAGGAAUGCGACCAAAAUUGCUUUUUACCAGGAACAUUUUGAGGUGUGGAUGUUUCUCUCUCAGGCUGAUACAGAGAGACUCAUCCAUGCUUUUAUUACAUUCAGGUUUGACUACUGUAUUGCUCUCCUGUCUGGUCUACCCAAGAAAGCCAUUGGUCAACUGCAGAACAUACAGAAUGCUGCAGCACGGGUACUGACCAAGAUCAGACGGAGAGCACACAUUUCAUAGGUUUUAAGGUCUCUGUACUGGCUGCCUGUGAGUUCUGUAAUGCACAUUGCAUUGCAGUCCAUGUCUGAAAUGUUCUGUAUAAAAAAGCUUGAUUUGAUUAAAUGUCAAAAUAAACACAAUAUUAAAUGCUA
ensembl:lncRNA